CAAUAUCAACAGAGUCGUCAGGGCCAAUAACUGCAACACUUGACACACGCCAAAAUUUAGAGGGGGGUCCGUCACUACCAUUUUUGUUUUCAAUUUUUCAAUGAUGUCGAAAUGUAUUUUUUCAAUGGAAUAGUGGCAAAAAAUAGCAGAAAAUUAAAAUAGUAACUACUUUUCAUAACCAAUAUGUAGGCGAAGAUAAAGUUCAUCACUACAGAAGACCAUUUUAUCGUCCCGGUGGCGCUCUUCGAGUGUAGAAUCCCGCGAUCAAUACUCGGUGGCAAACUAGAAAAUGGGGUGUGACGCAGGCGAAUCACGAAUCACGAGCUUACGAAGUACACAAACACUCUGAUAUUGUCAAGCUGAUGAAACACGGUAGGUUACAGUGGGCUGGCCAAUGAGCCCGGAUGGCGGAUGAGCAACCAGCAAAGAUAAUAUUUAGCAGAGAACCGGAUAGAGACCGCCGACUUCGAGGUAGACUUCGCACGCGCUGGAUGUGUGUUAUCGACGAGGAUUCCAGAGCGACGGGUGUAAGGGAAGACUGGAGAGGAGCAGCCCAAGACCGAGGUUUGUGGAGACGUAUUCUGGAUUCGGUAAAGAAUCUCAACGAUCUGAUGUUUAUACAUUGCCAAAGUAACGACGCUUUUAUACUAAAGAAGAAGCACUCAGUCCGGUUGUUAUUUACGAGACAUCCUUGACUUUGGUAAAACAACUGGUAGCUGUUUCAUACUCCCUCUCAAUCCGACAUGCCUGAGUUGACGUUAGUAACUUGAAGCGGAUGC